rnacentral:sRNA from 1 species
GCCACUGCACUGGGCCAGGAAUAUCUUUCUAUGACAAACGGUCUGGUUCUGUCACCCAGGUUGGAAUGCAGUGUCAGGAUCAUAGCUCCACUGUGACCUCAAACUCUUGGGCUCAAGCAACUCUCCUGCCUCAAGCAACUCUCCAGCCUCAGCAUCCGAGUAACUGAGACUACAGGCAGGGAAAUGAAGAGCCACUUUCAACAAUUCUGAAGAAGAAAUAUGGGAUGUUUUGCUUCGGGAUGGAGGCUGGAGCAGGAGUUUCUGGAGUCUGCCAGUACCCAGUUUGAAUCCCAGCUCUGCCUUUUAUCAGCUGGGUGUUGGGCAAGUUAGCUGACUUUUGUGAGUUUUCUCAUCAUUAAAAUGAGAACACUGUUA